GAGGCCGGCUGAAUCUGUGCAUACUUUUUAUUGGCUUCACCGCAGGAGGAAGUAGACGAUCUUCUUCGCCACCCACUCAUCCUUCCGCCUUCAAAGCAGAGUUUAGACAUAUUUUUGACCUGCCAGCUCCACGCUGAGUACAAAUUAGGACAAGAUUAUGGAUUGAUGCAUCACAGACAGCAUGUCUUUUGAGGAAAGCAGUGAACUUCUCCAUUUUUAGAAUGGUACUGGAAUGCUUCUGCUGCCUCAGUUGACACCAGCACCAGCAACCGCACACAGCAGCAUCUGACAUUUUUCAGAAGCCCCUGGGUACUUGAUGUCAGAUUUCUCCAGGCCAAGAAAAACUACAGUCUUACUUUGAAAAUAACUAGUGUACCUUGGAACACCACCACUGCUGAGAGCUGUUGAAGCUGGAAAUUGACCACACAUGCAAGACUGAAGCAUGCCCGUCCCAAGAACAAAGACAAGCCAUGUGAAGAAGCUGCUUCAGGCCAGAGAACACCUAACCUCAAGACAAUCCUGAACAGUGGUUUGCUAGGACGGGUUGUCAUACGACAUUAAGUUCCUAAAAGAAUGUACCUCUCACAGCUCCACUGAAGUAAACAGGCAGGAAGAGAAUCGUUGUGACUGGUAGGAAGCUAGUCAUGAAAAAGCUGCACUUGCUUCUGGGCCACAAACAAUACCGCACCAUUAGAUUUAUCCAGGUGAGACUUUUAUUUCCUUUUCUGCUUGACUUCUCCACUCUGAAGAGAAACAGACAAUAUCUGCCGUCUCAACAUCCAUCACUCUGUGGUUUCCACGAUGCAAAAUAGCUUCUACAUUUUCACACCAUUUUUAUUCAGUGCUGCCUGCUGGUGACUUUCACUCCCCUACUCCUCUCAAAUAUAUACUCUAAGAAAAACAAUAAUCAUAGUUUUUGCUCAUUCUUCAGUUUGUUUUUUUUUUUAUUUAAGGAGAAAAGAAAAGAAAGAAAAAAAAACAGUGAAGGGGUACAAGUUAUACAGAUUUACAGAAGAAAAAAAUGCGCAGUAGGAAAUCACUAGUUAAUGGAUUACAUAUUGCCAUCUUAGAAAUAAUUGUUCCAGUCACAAAAUUAAAGCUUGUAGAGUGGGCAUUCCAACAAUGAUACUGCAAACAGUUCUGUUCAAUGAUCCAAUAAAACUCUGUGAUAUCAUUUUCUAUCUUAUACAUUUAAAUAUACAUGCAGUUAUAUAGUUUAGAGCACUUUCUUUUCCUCUCUUUUGUACAGUGACUAUUACACAUUUUGGGUUUCAUUGCUCCCACGGUUCUUAUUGCUUUUUUGGAAGAGAGUAAAACCAAAUGUGACAUAACAGAACAGAAUCGGUCAAGUCAAAAGGGUGGACAUAAUAGAUAAUAUAAAAACAUAAUACAAGGUGAUCAACAAUGGUUACCAUAAUGCCUCCCGCUAUUUCUAAUAGAAUUGCCUAUAUCAUUAGUUGUAAUACAAUUGAACAAAACCGUAAAGAAUAAAACCGACAAAACCAAAACAUUGGAGAUAUUGUAGGUCUUCAAAAGUAGAUAAAAGUCAACGAGAAUGGGCGUUAUAAUGAAUCUCAUUAUCUUCUCAGCUGAUGCCUAAACUUUCGAACCUGAUACUAUCCAGCAAAACAGAAUAGAGGAACCUCAGUCAAAAACAAGAUGGUGAGAGUAACACAGGGCUUCAAAUCGAGAUAAUAGAAAGUCAAAGUGGGUUACUAUAUUAUAUCCUGCUAUAUUUUUCCCUUUAAUUAAAUGGAUAAAAAUAAAAAAGUAAAUAAUGGAGUGGAGAUUGAGAAAAAA